UGCAUUGAGCCGAAGCAGGUACUCACUUGUCUUGAUCAAACUAUGUAUUUAGUGUCUUCCAUUGUAUUCGUUGCUCAUUUUCUCCAUAUGUGGAUUGUAGAUUCCGGAGCAAUGGACCACAUAGCGCGUGAUUGGACCGGGUUCGUGGAGUAUCGUCGAGUUCUAGUUGGCAGAAAAAUACUAAUGGGGAUGACUCUGGUGUAAACGUGCUAGGAAUUGGCACUUACAAAUUGGAGAUGUGAGGAUGAUUUGCAUUGAUUCUUCACACUCUAUGCACCAGACGUCCAACAUAAUUUAUUCUCUUUAGUUUAAGCUACUCUAUUUGUUUUGAGAAUAAUGGUGUUGUAAUUUCUCGUGGGACUGAAGUUUUUUGAUAUGGUUUUAUCUCUAAUGGUUUUAUAGUUUUAGAUACUAUUAAUUUUAG
rnacentral:lncRNA from 1 species